rnacentral:lncRNA from 1 species
AUUAAUCAACAAAUUAACACACAAUAAUUUUAUUUAUUUACUUUUUAUGUUUUAGAAAGAGACAGUACAUAUUGAAACUAAGUACCUAUUGAAACUAACACACACAUCCAUAUUCUUAUUUUAUUACACAUAAAAAAGAUUAAUACUUCGUACACUUAACUAGUAUAAUCAAGAUUUCUUCCAUAGUGAGGAAUAACAAGAAAAUCGAGAUUAUCGUUCACAUUCUCCCCAUCGGCAAUACCGGCCUGCCACAUUUGAGGGACCCCCUCAAACCAAUUGUUAUUACCUGAAAAUUUUACGUUAGAAAACUUAAUCAUAAGUCUAUAUAUUAAGAUACGAGUUAUAUAUGACAUUCAACUGGAGUUAGCCGACAAACCUGCGCAAGGAGUUUUCAUGUUCUUCAAGGUAAUCACAAAAGAUCUCUACUCGCUUAUGGUAACCGUAACCAAAACACAAAAGCAAUUAAGUUGCCCUAACGCAUUUAUGCUAUGCGUGUAGUUUGAUAUAACGUGUAUAAAUAUAUAUGUGUGUGUGAUAGCGGUCCCAGUCAAAGCGUAAGUGAUUGAAUAUAUUUCUACUUAGGGUGAGAAAUAAGACCACAAGAUAUUUGAUUUUUUGGAUAAUAGUCAAUGCCUUUAUUCAAGUCUGUUGGAGCUUAUUUAUACUUGAAACAACUUAGCCAAACAAUCUAACUAUCACUCGAGAUUGUAGGCAGGUACUAAGCUAACAACUUGACUUAUUCUUUUAACUUAACAAAACAACCGAAUAUGAAUUAAAUCAAAUAAUAAAUCUCCAUUAAAUCAGCAAGUGAUCCCAUGUUGACCGAAUCAACCCAUGAUCCCUGUAGACUGCUCCAACGACCAUUCUUCCAACGUGCUGCACGUUGCAUGUAACGUAUGCAUGAGUCUUGAGCCAUGUGACCGUUCGACUUCCAAGCAUCCAUGCAUAAUUCAAACGUACCCAGCAUACUUGUUGCUAGGCUUUGGAAUCCUUGACGACCUCCGCGGCGUAUCAGUGUGUGAGGUAGCCGACGUGCCAAGGUCGG